UGGACAGAUUAUUGUAUUCGACUGUAUUCACGGCGUGAAACAGGGGAUUACACUAUUUUUAAAUGGAAAGUGAAUCAAUUAACAUAAUAGACUCCU
rnacentral:pre_miRNA from 1 species